UACGGAGGGCGCAAGCGUUGUUCGGAAUCACUGGGCGUAAAGCGCGUGCAGGCGGCUUGGUAAGUCGGGUGUGAAAUCCCGGAGCUCAACUCCGGAACUGCACCCGAUACUGCCUCGCUAGAGUCCCGGAGAGGAUGGCGGAAUUUCCGGUGUAGAGGUGAAAUUCGUAGAGAUCGGAAGGAACACCAGCGGCGAAGGCGGCCAUCUGGACGGUGACUGACGAUCAGACGCGAAAGAGCGGGGAGCAAACAGG
rnacentral:rRNA from 1 species